rnacentral:rRNA from 1 species
UUAGAGUUUGAUCCUGGCUCAGGAUGAACGCUAGCGGCAGGCUUAACACAUGCAAGUCGAGGGGCAGCGAGAUCAGUGCUUGCACUGAUUGUCGGCGACCGGCGCACGGGUGCGUAACGCGUAUGCAACCUACCCAUUACAGGGGGAUAACACUGAGAAAUCGGUACUAAUACCCCAUAACAUCCAGGGAGGCAUCUUCUUGGGUUGAAAACUCCGGUGGUAAUGGAUGGGCAUGCGUUGUAUUAGUUAGUUGGUGGGGUAACGGCUCACCAAGACAACGAUACAUAGGGGGACUGAGAGGUUAACCCCCCACAUUGGUACUGAGACACGGACCAAACUCCUACGGGAGGCAGCAGUGAGGAAUAUUGGUCAAUGGACGCAAGUCUGAACCAGCCAUGCCGCGUGCAGGAAGACGGCUCUAUGAGUUGUAAACUGCUUUUGUACGAGGGUAAACGCAGAUACGCGUAUCUGUCUGAAAGUAUCGUACGAAUAAGGAUCGGCUAACUCCGUGCCAGCAGCCGCGGUAAUACGGAGGAUUCAAGCGUUAUCCGGAUUUAUUGGGUUUAAAGGGUGCGUAGGCGGUCGGAUAAGUUAGAGGUGAAAUCCCGGGGCUCAACUUCGGAAUUGCCUCUGAUACUGUUCGGCUAGAGAGUAGUUGCGGUAGGCGGAAUGUAUGGUGUAGCGGUGAAAUGCUUAGAGAUCAUACAGAACACCGAUUGCGAAGGCAGCUUACCAAGCUACUUCUGACGUUGAGGCACGAAAGCGUGGGGAGCAAACAGGAUUAGAUACCCUGGUAGUCCACGCAGUAAAACGAUGAUAACUCGUUGUCGGCGAUACAGUGUCGGUGACUAAGCGAAAGCGAUAAGUUAUCCACCUGGGGAGUACGUUCGCAAGAAUGAAACUCAAAGGAAUUGACGGGGGCCCGCACAAGCGGAGGAACAUGUGGUUUAAUUCGAUGAUACGCGAGGAACCUUACCCGGGCUUGAAAGUUAGUGACGGAUCUUGAAAGAGGUCUUCCCUUCGGGGCACGAAACUAGGUGCUGCAUGGUUGUCGUCAGCUCGUGCCGUGAGGUGUCGGGUUAAGUCCCAUAACGAGCGCAACCCCUACCGUUAGUUGCCAGCAGGUCAAGCUGGGCACUCUGACGGGACUGCCGGUGUAAGCCGAGAGGAAGGUGGGGAUGACGUCAAAUCAGCACGGCCCUUACGUCCGGGGCUACACACGUGUUACAAUGGCAGGUACAGAGGGCAGCUACCCAGCGAUGGGAUGCGAAUCUCGAAAGCCUGUCUCAGUUCGGAUUGGAGGCUGAAACCCGCCUCCAUGAAGUUGGAUUCGCUAGUAAUCGCGCAUCAGCCAUGGCGCGGUGAAUACGUUCCCGGGCCUUGCACAAAGCGCCCGUCA